rnacentral:piRNA from 1 species
UUCGAACGCUCUGUUUCUCCAGACUCCUG